CGAUGUAUGGAAGUAUAGUGCAGCAGUUGAGGACAUAUUCAUUGAGAGUGUGAGCUCUGGAGCCUGAUGACCUGGGUUCAAAUCCUUUACUCUUCCUCCUACUGGCUAUGUAACCCUGGGCAAAUUAGCUUCCCCAACUGUAGAAAGGGGAUAGUAUUAACUAAAGGAUAGUAUAGCUGUAGGGAUUAAGGUCUUCAGAGAGGUCCUUGGUACACGAACGGCUGGAUCAGGCUCCACCCAGCAUCUCACAGGAUGUCUGACACUCACCCAAACUGUGGAAGGAAGGAACCAGCGAGUGGAUGUGAAUUGCUAACCAUGGCUGAAACUCCCUAGAGCUGCGCUCAGCAAACCCAGAAGGACUAUAGCUCCUGAAGACAAAGGAAACCGGUCCCUUCGCAUUCAGAGGGUCUUGUCCUGACCCCCCCUCUUGAAAGCCAGCACCUGCUACUCAUUGUGCAAAAUAUGCUGAAUACAAGAUCUCAUUCAAUUCUUACAACUUUGCUAACCCCAUCUUUCUAGAAAUAGCUUCUGAAAUGAGCAAGACUUGCCUCCAGUUCAUGAAGGAGGCUACUACACAGAGGACAGGAGAAUCCACACCUCGUUGGAGUAGAGGAUUCUUGGACUGGCAAGGAGUUUGUCGCCAGGUGGUGGGCGGCUGGGACUCCUACAUUUGGGAGGGAUCAUUUGUCAAGAGAGAUUGGGAGAUCAUCUCUCCAAUUUGAGGGAGGGGGGAGGAAAUUGGAGGUGAGGGGGUCAGGUCCCCUAAUGAUAUACCUUAGCGCGGGUA